AAAAUGGUUCUGAAAGAAGCAAAAUACUAUAUAGCACCGUGAUUCAACAAAUUGUCCUUUCUCAGAAUCAGAAUCCUAGCAUCUGCUUUUGCCUUUAUCAUUAUAAUUUCUUGAAUGCUUGCCAUGUACCAUGGAUUAUACCUAGUAGCAUUUAUAGGAAUUUCAUAUUCACAACUUUAUGAGGCAAGCCCUGUUGUUGUAUUAAUUAUACAGAUGAUGGAAAAGAAACCAGAGAGACAAGGAACCACCAUUAGGAAAAGGAGCAAGCAGAGGUCACAGAGCUUGGCAAGGUCCCCCUAGUGCAACAAGUUCUGCCAGGACUGAAGCUGGAUGGAGAUUCAGGAGUGUCUAGAGCCAGGUGGGGCAAAUGCUCACUGAUUCCUCACCCUUCUCUAGGAAAAUGGGGAAUGUGGCUUCCUGCGAUGGUAAGCAAGAGGAAAUAGACCAGGAAUAACUUUGGCACUCCAUGUGGUAGAGUGACUAACUGAAGGUUUCCAAUGCAGCAGCCGAUAGGGGAAGAGACCACAGGCACUCAGGCUUGAAGUAGUCAAAGCCAUCAACAUUUUAAGAAAAUGAAGCAUUUCCUAUGAAUUUAUCUAUAAUAGUCAUAAAAUUUCCUAAAUGAAUUGACAUAGUCAUAAAUGCUGGUUUGAUAACAAUGAAAUAAGUUAGUUCACGAAUCUGAUUUUUUCCCUAAAGGUUGUUAAAUUGGAAAGAGAUUUAUGAUCUUCUGACUUCUUUAUGUUCCUUUGUUUUCACUGAAGCAGGUAUCCUUGAUCAAAAAUUGAUUGGUUAUAAUAUAAAUCUGUGGGUUUUGAUAAUUGCUGAUAACAUGCCAUAUACAAGGCUAUCUUUUUCUUUGACUCAAAUUCAGAUAUGCUUUUAAUUUCAUAUAAAAUUUUUCUGGCCAGGCAUUUUUGAGGACAGAUGCUAUUUGGCAGGCAUCAACACGUCGUAUCAAGCCUCCUUCAACUGAGAGCUUCAGUGCUUUACUAUUGCAUUGCAUUUGGACCGUUAACACCUGUGAUAAUUUCUCAUCCAUUUCAAAUUAUCCCCACUAAAAUUUGGCAUGUCACCUACCAGCCUGAGUUAUGACUGAGUUUUAAAGGGGUUCAGGCUUUUGGGAAUUCUUUAGGGAACAACCAUGAUACAUUCAUAAUGUUAAGACCUAUGAUUCUUUGAACAAAAUUCUAUUGAAGUAACUUAUCAGAAUCAUGUGUGAUGCAGUCUUCUCUUUGCUAGAAGUUCCCUCUUGGUGGCUCCCUGAGGGGCUCUUAGCCCACGUACUAUCCCAGCAUGCCAUAAGCCAAAAAUCUUCUUUUGGUCACUCACCAGUAACUCCGUGAAAAAGCAACCAGAGCAAAAAAGAAAAGAUUGCUGUUGUUAUAUCUAAGUCAGAUCCAUUCCUGCAUCUUCCAAAUAUUGUAUAAUAUCUCUGCAUUAUGUUGUUUUUUUCUGAGAAACAUUCUGCUCAAUGAAGCAGUAUCCGUCCCUCUUCAAUUUCCGUAAGGGUGUGAUUAAAAUAAUGUGCAGAUAUGGUGAAGGGCAAAGGAAGGGAUUGCAUAUUAUAGAUGAAAUAGUCAUUGGUUUGUUUUACAGUCUAUGCAUUUUUAAUGAGCAAGUCCCAAUUACAGGAAUUAAAUGUUCCAGAUACUGAUUUCAGAGGGAUAACAUAUAAUAUGAAAAUAAAAUUUGGUAACACUAUGUGAUGAUGUGCAGUUCAAUAUAGCUAUAACCCUGGAAAGUGAAAAAUGAUGCUCUUCAUAUUGAAAUAUUCCAAAAAAUUAAAUUAAUUCCCUGAAGCACAUUAUAAUAACAUUGAAAAAUGUUACAUGAUUUAUAUCUUUUAAAUCUGGUUUUUAAAGUCAUGUCAAAAAUGAGGAGUCCUUGACCCUUUUAUUCAAUCACAUAUAUAUUCUGUAACAACAUAUGAAAAAAGUCUGCAAAAGAAGCAUUAUAAAGCAGAAGUUUCCCCAAAUUUGUUCCUGUUUCACUCCUGUGUAUGCGAAAUACUCAUAUAAAUUAUGUAAGUGGAUCUGGCUUAUAUCCCGGUCACAUAUGGGUUUUCUCACAAAGUAAAAUAUUAUACUUGAUCCUCUCCUUUUCUUUUUAUUGAAGUGUAGUUCAUUUACAACAAUGUGUUACUUUCAGAUGUACAGCAAAAUGAUUCAGUUAUACAUACAUAUUUUUUACCUUUCAGGUUAUUGCAAGAUAUUGAGUAUAUUCCUUGUGCUACACAGUAGGUCCUUGUUGGUUAUCUAUUUUAUAUAUAGUAGCAUUUAUAUGUUAAUCUCAAACUACUUAUUUUUAGAGAGUAAAGAUUCACCUAGGAGAUUUGUACUAAUCCUUUCAGAGUAUUAGGCGGACAGUUAAUUAGUGGAGAAGCAUUAGAAGGUAAAGCUUUAUUGGGCACCCCUAAAAGCCAGGCAUUGUUCUAAAUGCUUUCACGUGCCCUUUUACUUCAUCCUCACAGGACCCAGUGAGGUCAGUUUCAUCUUUAUCCUCACUUUGCAAGAGGGAAAAACGAGGCUCAGUAAGGCUUUAGUUACUUGCCCGAGGUUAUACAACAUUGUGAUGGAGAGCCAUGUUUCAGACAUGGCCUGCUCUAACCUCUGGACCACUCUCCUCACCCUCAGAUGUGCAGAAGGUAUGCAAAUGGACGGAGCAGGGGGACCGACUUCCACAAAUGGUCAUAAAAUUGAUUUCUGAAACCAUAACACAUUCUAGAGUAAUCCAGGAGGAUCUUGGUCCUGGGAAAUUUGUGUUUUGUAUUUUCUCUUUGAGAGUUGGUACUGAAGAUUGAGAUUAAGUUAAGGUAGAAACAGGAAUGUUUGAGUGAUGCAGAUAGAAGCUUUUGCUGUUAGAAGAGAUGACACCCAUUGCCUGGCCACAGUUCAUUUUAAGACAAUACAGAGUGAUGCUACAGAUACCACAGUGCUUUCAUAAGAAAACAGAAACUCUGGGUAACUUUUACUGUAAGUGAUGUCCUGUAUGGGAAACUGAGCUCAACCUGGAGUGCCUAGAAAGAUUGCAAGAGCAGAUCAUUUUAGACUAAGAGAUAUUUAGAAAUCAAGGACUAAAGAAAAGGUCAAUUGGAACUAGGGAAAAACAAGAUAAAAUCCCCAACUGAACUGUAAAAAUCCUUCUGAGCUCUCAGAAGCACCCGCAAGUCUUUCUCUCCUCCUCUAAAAAGGUAACUCAAAAUUAGCAACUUGUAAAUAAUGGAAAUAAGAAGUUUCUAUCCUGCCACCUAUGACAGCCUGUCAAAAUAUUCCAAGGUAUAAUGAUAUGGUUUUUAUUUUUAACAACUUUUUGUCAUAAAAAUAAUACUUGCUUACUGAAUAAUGAUCUAAUGAUAUGAUAGCUUAUAUAGGAUACAGUGAAAAUGAGACAUCAGCACCUCUCUCCAGAGGUAACCUAGCCUUCCUGAUCCCUUCUAAGCACAUAUAUACACAAACAUUUACUUAUUCAAAUAGUAUAUUCUCUGUCUACCAUCUAUCUUAUUAUAUAACUUACUUUAAAAAAUAGCAAUAUAUCAUUAAUAUUAAAGAGUUGGGGAGUUCCCGUCGUGGCGCAGUGGUUAACGAAUCCGACUAGGAACCAUGAGGUUGCGGGUUCGGUCCCUGCCCUUGGUCAGUGGGUUAACGAUCCGGCGUUGCCAUGAGCUGUGGUGUAGGUUGCAGACGCGGCUCUGAUCCCACGUUGCUGUGGCUCUGGCAUAGGCCAGUGGCUACAGCUCCGAUUCGACGCCUAGCCUGGGAACCUCCAUAUGC
rnacentral:lncRNA from 1 species